GGAUUAGGCUGCAAGUCGCACGAGAAAGGCUUCUUCGGAAGCCGAGUAAAGUGGCGAACGGGUGAGUAAUGCAUAGACAACUCGCCCUUGAGAUGGGGACAACGCCUCGAAAGGGGUGCUAAUACCCAAUGCCGCCUUGGGCCUGCGGGUCCAGGGUGAAAGGAGGCCUCUGAUUCAAGCUUCCGCUCAAGGAGAGGUUUAUGUCCUAUUAGUUAGUUGGCGGGGUAACGGCCCACCAAGGCUGCGAUGGGUAGCCGACCUGAGAGGGUGACCGGCCACAUUGGGACUGAGACACUGCCCAGACUCCUACGGGAGGCUGCAGUCGAGAAUCUUCCGCAAUGCGCGCAAGCGUGACGGAGCGACGCCGCGUGGGUGAUGAAGGCCUUCGGGUUGUAAAACCCUGUCAGCUACUACGAAACACGGGCGAUGAACAAUCGUCCCGUCUGACUUAAGUAGCAGAGGAAGCACCGGCUAACUACGUGCCAGCAGCCGCGGUAAUACGUAGGGUGCGAACGUUGUUCGGAAUCACUGGGCAUAAAGGGCGCGUAGGCGGUCUGAUAAGUCAGGUGUGAAAUCCCUCGGCCUAACCGAGGAACUGCAUUUGAUACUGUCGGGCUAGAGUACAGGAGGGGAGAGUGGAAUUCCUGGUGGAGCGGUGAAAUGCGUAGAUAUCAGGAGGAACGCCGGCGGCGAAAGCGACUCUCUGGCCUGUUACUGACGCUGAGGCGCGAAAGCUAGGGGAGCAAACGGGAUUAGAUACCCCGGUAGUCCUAGCCCUAAACGAUGGGCACUAAGUAGAGGGGUUUU
rnacentral:rRNA from 1 species